CGCAGCCUGAGCAGCCAUGCCGCGUGUGUGAAGAAGGCCUUCGGGUUGUAAAGCACUUUCAGUCGUGAGGAAGGUGGUGUAGUUAAUAGCUGCAUUAUUUGACGUUAGCGACAGAAGAAGCACCGGCUAACUCCGUGCCAGCAGCCGCGGUAAUACGGAGGGUGCGAGCGUUAAUCGGAAUUACUGGGCGUAAAGCGCAUGCAGGUGGUUUGUUAAGUCAGAUGUGAAAGCCCGGGGCUCAACCUCGGAAUAGCAUUUGAAACUGGCAGACUAGAGUACUGUAGAGGGGGGUAGAAUUUCAGGUGUAGCGGUGAAAUGCGUAGAGAUCUGAAGGAAUACCGGUGGCGAAGGCGGCCCCCUGGACAGAUACUGACACUCAGAUGCGAAAGCGUGGGGAGCAAACAGGAUUAGAUACCCUGGUAGUCCACGCCGUAAACGAUGUCUACUUGGAGGUUGUGGCCUUGAGCCGUGGCUUUCGGAGCUAACGCGUUAAGUAGACCGCCUGGGGAGUACGGUCGCAAGAUUAAAACUCAAAUGAAUUGACGGGGGCCCGCACAAGCGGUGGAGCAUGUGGUUUAAUUCGAUGCAACGCGAAGAACCUUACCUACUCUUGACAUCCAGAGAACUUUCCAGAGAUGGAUUGGUGCCUUCGGGAACUCUGAGACAGGUGCUGCAUGGCUGUCGUCAGCUCGUGUUGUGAAAUGUUGGGUUAAGUCCCGCAACGAGCGCAACCCUUAUCCUUGUUUGCCAGCGAGUAAUGUCGGGAACUCCAGGGAGACUGCCGGUGAUAAACCGGAGGAAGGUGGGGACGACGUCAAGUCAUCAUGGCCCUUACGAGUAGGGCUACACACGUGCUACAAUGGCGCAUACAGAGGGCGGCCAACUUGCGAAAGUGAGCGAAUCCCAAAAAGUGCGUCGUAGUCCGGAUUGGAGUCUGCAACUCGACUCCAUGAAGUCGGAAUCGCUAGUAAUCGUGGAUCAGAAUGCCACGGUGAAUACGUUCCCGGGCCUUGUACACACCGCCCGUCACACCAUGGGGAGUGGCUGCAAAAGAAGUAGGUAGUUUAACCUUCCGGGGGGACGCUUACCACUU
rnacentral:rRNA from 1 species